AGACUGGUGAGGAGACACAGAGUCUGGCUGAUUAUGCUCUAAGCACUGACUGUUCCUGACACAGAGUUACAGGGAACUCUAAAGUAAAGUUUUGCAGCUGCAUCCCUGAGAGAGCGAGGUAAAGACCACGUGUUGGGACCGUCAAGCGUCUGCAUCAGAAGCCAGAGGACAUCUUCCUUCACCUACCGGACAAGACAAGCAUCCACCUCGUGGGAAAAGA